rnacentral:rRNA from 1 species
AGAGUGAACGCUGGCGGUAGGCCUAACACAUGCAAGUCGAACGGCAGCACAGUGGUAGCAAUACCAUGGGUGGCGAGUGGCGGACGGGUGAGGAAUACAUCGGAAUCUACCUUUUCGUGGGGGAUAACGUAGGGAAACUUACGCUAAUACCGCAUAAGACCUUCGGGUGAAAGCCGGGGACCUUCGGGCCUGGCGCGGAUAGAUGAGCCGAUGUCGGAUUAGCUUGUUGGCGGGUAAAAGCCCACCAAGGCGACGAUCCGUAGCUGGUCUGAGAGGAUGAUCAGCCACACUGGAACUGAGACACGGUCCAGACUCCUACGGGAGGCAGCAGUGGGAAUAUUGGACAAUGGGCGCAAGCCUGAUCCAGCCAUACCGCGUGGGUGAAGAAGGCCUUCGGGUUGUAAAGUCCCUUUAGUUGGAAAGUAAAGUCCUGCCGGUUAAAUAACCGAAGUAGGGAUGAACGGUAACCCGAAAAGAAGUAAAGCGAACCGUACGUAACUUACGUCG